UCGAUGCUAUAAUAGUGUGACUAAUCCUUAGAUCUGAGAUGUCUCAACUAUUCACAGUGAGGCUGCUAUAGUUUGACUAUACAUACACUUGAUCCUUAGCUAUAUGGGUCCUUGCAUGCAUGUUGGCUGUAGUAGAUUCAUUGUAGAAAUACGAUGCACACCAAGAUAAAAUCUAUCAUCCUUAGUAGAUAAAGAAGAUAGUCCUAUAUAAUUUAUAAGACUAACUUUAAAAGACCUUGGUCAAGGCAAUGUGAGUAAUGAAAAAGAGUUUCCACAUACUUCACAUCAGAAACUCAAGUCGAGUAAAUCUUACAUAUGAUAGAUAUUAUGGUUUGACGAGUAAUCCAUAACUUCCAUCUUAUCGGGACCCAAGAUAGAAGAACUAUAUC
rnacentral:lncRNA from 1 species